AGUUCGUGGAGUGAUCUGUCUGCUUAAUUGCGUUUCACUAAGGAUCUAUAUUCAUAUUACGCAUAGCAUUUUGACCCCUUUAUGCUUCGGUAUAAAGCUGCGCGUCAAACCUUGCUAUCUGCGUAUAUUAGAUCCUGAAAGCAACGAACGUGACCGCAACCUCUUGUUGCCUUUAACUAGGUUUUGCUUACGUAUAGCUUCGGCUUUACGCUUUGCAUCUAAAAAGGCUGAUUUUCUAAACUAGAGGGACCGCUGUUACUUUCUUAAACCAGAGGAAGGUUGCGGCAAUAACAGGUC
rnacentral:rRNA from 1 species